rnacentral:lncRNA from 1 species
AGCGGGCUGAGCUGGCUGAGAGGGAAUAAAACCCGGGAGUACUGUAGCUUGUGGGGUAAGUUUUGAGAAAUGAGAAAUCCUUAGUCUGUUCUUCCCCAAUCUAUUCUCUGAAUUCUCUGGCUCUAUUCUCUUGCGAUCUCGACUUCUUCUCCCCAAUCGGCGGCGACUUCUCUCGUCGGCGACGUGGGAUAUCACACUAACUGACAACACAAGACAGCACACAAACAAGAACUGGGUUAACCAUGAGAGCGUAACAUUCGAGCUGUAUCAAAGCAGUGCGUAACAGCGUAAGAUAUUUACGACAAUCAGAUAUCUCGCCCUAAUUCCAGCAAUUUGGUGCUAAAACCUCUCCGCUUGCUUUUGGGGGGACCCGAACCCGAAGGAAUCGAAUCCUAGUCCUAGAGAGGAAUAAGAAGGAGGAAGACGACCUGGGCAGGGCAAGACUCCUCCAUGAUGUGGAGGAGGUUGGAGGUGGAGUGUAGCGCCUGCCAUCUGCUCCGCCACCGCGGCCGCGGCCUGCGCCUGCGCGCCGCCGGCGGCCCUCUAUGGAGUGGCGAAGGCUUUGCAGAAAGCUACACUGGGGUCAGGACCUCAUCUGUCUCCGCCACCGCCACCACCACCAGCUCCUCCCCCGAGGUCUGAAUCGGUGCUUGGGUCUCCAUUUUUUCAUCCUGGUGGGGAUAGGGAGCAUGAGGAGAGGCAUUGGACUCCGACAAUGGAUUUUUCGAAGUUUGAUGGUUCGGGUGCUCGUGUGUGGGUGGAUAACUGCGAAACUUAUUUCUCGAUGUAUAACAUCAUUGAGGGUUUUAAAGUGUCAGCUGCAUCGUUGAAUAUGGUGGGCGAUGCAGCCAAUUGGUACCAAGCUUGGAAGCAGGAAAUGGGAUGGCCAACCUGGGAACAACUGAAGUUGGCUGUUCUGGAAGAAUUUGAGGCUCAUCUUCAUCGUGUAAAAAUGGAUGAGUUGUUACUGCUGGCACAAACUGGAAAUGUCUAUGAAUACAGGUCUCGGUUUGCUCAGUUGGUGUAUGAGAUUCGAUUGUAUGACCCGGCAGUGAGUGGACAAAUGUUAGUUUCCCAAUUUGUUUUGGGCCUGAAAGAGGAGUUGCGAUUCUUUGUUACUGCUCAACAACCUGUAACUGUAACUCAGGCUUAUUUGGUGGCUCUAGCUUAUGAGGGAGCUGCUAGAGUAAAGAAGUCUAAUCAUAGAAGAGAGUUGGUUC